UUCUUGUAACUAGUACCGCAAUACUUUUUCUCCACUCGUCUGGCAUUUUCUUUGUUCUUAAAAUCUUGUUGAACAACUAAAAUAUGCCAAUCUCUCCUAUGCAACUCCAAACUCUAUUGAAAUACCAUUCGGUCCUAAAGUUUUUCCAAUCUUCAUUUUUUUCAAAGCUUUUUUCACUUCAAAUAUCCUAAUCUUACGAAUGUGUGUGACUUCUAACCUCAUUUAUGUUAAAGGUUCCUCUUAACAUUGUGCUCCCAGAGUGGUCAUCUUUUAACCAUUUUUUAAAUAAAUUCUCCAUCUUUUAUUGACUUCGCCAUCCGUCACAAAGAUCCUUUGUUUCUCACUCUCAAUGCAUUUAACAUGAUCUAAAUCCCCUUAUAUUUCUUGUCUCUCAUUUUCGCUCGUUUGAAGACAUUUUUUUUUCGUCUUCUCUUGUGCCCAAUUUGUUG
rnacentral:lncRNA from 1 species